rnacentral:rRNA from 1 species
UACGGAGGGUGCGAGCGUUUAUCGGAAUUACUGGGCGUAAAGCGCGCGUAGGCGGCUUGUUAAGUCGGAUGUGAAAUCCCCGGGCUCAACCUGGGAAUUGCAUCCGAUACUGGCGAGCUGGAGUGCGAUAGAGGGGGGUAGAAUUCCUGGUGUAGCGGUGAAAUGCGUAGAUAUCAGGAGGAAUACCGGUGGCGAAGGCGGCCCCCUGGAUCGACACUGACGCUGAGGUGCGAAAGCGUGGGUAGCAAACAGG